UACGGGAGGCAGCAGUGGGGAAUAUUGGACAAUGGGCGAAAGCCUGAUCCAGCCAUGCCGCAUGAGUGAAGAAGGCCUUCGGGUUGUAAAGCUCUUUUAGUGAGAAAGAUAAUGACGGUACUCACAGAAGAAGUCCUGGCUAACUCCGUGCCAGCAGCCGCGGUAAUACGGAGAGGGCUAGCGUUAUUCGGAAUUAUUGGGCGUAAAGAGCGCGUAGGCUGAUUAGUAAGUUAAAAGUGAAAUCCCAAAGCUUAACUUUGGAAUUGCUUUUAAAACUAGCUAGUCUAGAGAUUGUAAAGAGGAUAGAGGAAUUCCUAGUGUAGAGGUGAAAUUCGUAAAUAUUAGGAGGAACGACCAGUGGCGAAGGCGGUCUAUCUGGUUCAAAUCUGACGCUGAGGCGCGAAGGCGUGGGGAGGCAAACAGGGAUUAGAUACC
rnacentral:rRNA from 1 species